CUGCUAUUAAUGAAAAUUCUUGGUGUUGCUGAAAGACUCUGUACUGGUAGUAAGAGGCUCCUAUUUAGAAUCCGGGGUAUUUUCUGUGUGCCGGAUGAGUCAAAAUGUGAAAAUAGGCAUCUCGCAGACCAAGAGCUACAAACCAGCUUUGGAUAUAUAAGGAGGGAAUUAGGGCGGCCAGAGUUACCAUCCUGAAUUUGAAGUGACAGUUGAACUUGUUGAGACCUUUCAAAUCUAGAAGCAUCUGCCAAUCCCCCUCGUUCUUUGGGGUUAAAAAGAAUCUCCAAGAUCUCUGCUAUAUGACAUAAAGGUCCUGGAAAAAUCUUAAAAUCAUCAGGCUUGCUAGGAACAGAAGAGACUGCUGCCUUGUCUGUAGGUACCAGAGAUGGUGACCUAGGUCUGCACUCACUGCCCUCCUUCCCCUUUCUGAUGAUUGGAUGGAAGAGGACUUAGCAGCUAAAGGGUUCGAUCUCUUCAAUGAAGAGUGAGCCAAGGAGCUUGGAGCUGAGCUACCGCUAACAGGAGUGCUAAAUGAAGACGACUCUUAGAAGCUGAGAAGAAAGGGUCCACCAAGUCUUGAGAAGGCACUCACUGAGCACUCUAGAAGAAAAAGUUUGAGAUGGACCUCCUGCUUUCUGUGGUCUCUUGGAGAAGGAGUGACAGAUCAAGCACUUUUGGGGAUGUGCCUCUCUCCAAUGGUGCCCACCAUUAAAGCAGAAAAGCUGUCACAAGAACAGCAGAUUUUGAAUACUGGAGAUGUUGUUUCAUUCAUAGCAGCUAGACCCUGGUACCAGGUGUUGUCCCUCAACCUAACAGAAAAAACAUUUGCUUUUUUUUUUUUUUUAAUAUAAUUUCUUUGGACAUUAUAACAAGGAAAACUGUACUAACUGAUAACUACCCAAGAGAAAAAUAAAAUACAGUGCAUCAAGCAGGAGAUAUUGCAGUAGCUCUGU